GCUCUGCCAGGGAGAAGACAGGAGGAGCCCUAUUCUCUCGCUGGCUCACUGCUUCUUCCAGCCUGCCUCUGCUUCCUCCCAACAGCAAGGGCUCAACACACGACUCUGCCAAGGCUUGCCCUCAGCAAAAGCACAGCUGUCCAGUCACAGAUCCUCCGAGGGAAGAAGGAAGAAUGCCGCCUCUCGCCCACCAGCACUCAGCUCUCCAGGUGCGUCCAAAAUGGCUGUGGGUCUCCGCAACAGUUCAGCUGAGUCACUGGGACUCCAGCACACCUAGCAAAGGAGCUCCUCUGCCAUUUCCCUACAGCUGAGGUACAGCACUGGUGCUGCUGUGCACACGUACGUGCCCAGGGCCAGGCUCUCUGCCUCUCUCACUCCUAGUGCAAAAACCACCCAAGAGAAGCAGGAGCUUUCUGACGCUGAGACAGAUCAACCCUGCACAAACAAUCCCCGGAAGGAGUCCACACAAGUUACCGUGGACCUUGGUGAAUGCAGGGAAAGCAGUAAAAAACCUCUUUCAGUAGAUAAAAGAACAGACCCCAGCAGGGGAAGUAACUUACCUGGGGUUACAGAGUAAAACAGAGACAGAGAGACAAAAA